ACCUACGGGACGCAGCAGUGGGGAAUAUUGGACAAUGGGGGGAACCCUGAUCCAGCGAUGCCGCGUGAGUGAAGAAGUAUUUCGGUAUGUAAAGCUCUAUCAGCAGGGAAGAAAGAAAUGACGGUACCUGACUAAGAAGCCCCGGCUAACUACGUGCCAGCAGCCGCGGUAAUACGUAGGGGGCAAGCGUUAUCCGGAUUUACUGGGUGUAAAGGGUGCGUAGGUGGCAGGGCAAGUCAGAUGUGAAAGCCCGGGGCCCAACCCCGGUACUGCAUUUGAAACUGUCCGGCUGGAGUGCAGGAGAG
rnacentral:rRNA from 1 species